UCCAACAUAUACAAUAUUGUCACGUGCAUUUGUGAACGAAGAACGCUAUAGAUCGCUAUAGACGGGGUUUGGAUUGGUCAAUAGAUUUAUUGACCACUCACAGCUCGAAACUAUGGAUCCCUCGUAUAGAUGUUCCAGCAGGCAGAAGAACGUAAAUGGUUUGAUGAAAGGAAAGAGUUCAAGAUUUCUGAUUGAUAGUUGAGGUGAUGGUGUCACAGGGGCAUAAUGCUAGGAACACUGGGCCCAAAGCCCUGCUGCUAAUGGAUGGCCAUCACCAUGGUCAGCCACAUGGAACAAAAGUACUGAAAUCCAGCAGUGGCUGCUAAAUACAUGUCAUGUUCCUUCAAAGAACGCAAUAAACAUCAGUUUCAGUUUCAGUUUAUUGUAAUAUUCCAUCAAUCAAGAACAGACUACAAAUGUCGCCAGUCUAAUAUAGAACCAUUCACAGAUAUACAAUACACCAAAUACUCAAAGAAUAUACUAUGCAUGCUUUGAAUAUUAAAGUGUCAGUCAAACAAUUACAAAUCAAACAA